AUAACUUACUCGUGUGAAAUAAAUUCCAUAUCCAACAAUCACUCGUUGUGUAAUCUCUAAUUAUAGAAUUUCUCGAAUGUAUGAGCAGAUGUAUGAUCAUUAUAGAAUUUCUCGAAUGUAUGAGCAGAUGUACGAGUAGUGUUAUAUACAUUGUAGAUAGAUAUUGUACAUAUUUGUUGUACAUAUAUGUUGUGUGAAGCUAUUACAAAGUGCUCUGUUUAUCAUGUACACAUAUCAUUGUAUUGAAUAAAAUAUACAAGUUACAAAAAAAAGUUUGUUCAAAUGAAUGACCUUGACCUUCAUCCAAGUCACAUGGGUCAAAUAGGUUAAACUUUUCAAAAUAAAUUCUUUUCAAUAACCAAGAGACACAGGGACUUUAUAUUAGGCCUGAGGCAUGCUUGGGUAAAUUUAUGGCUGCAAAGUUUAUUCAAAUGAAAGACCUUGACCCUCAUUCAAGGUCACAGGGAUAAGAUAGGCUAAAAUCUUUAAAACAACUUCUCAAUGACCAAGAGGCCCAGGGUCUUGGUAUUUGGUCUGUAGCAUGCUGGGGUAAAGGGCUAUUAUGUUUGUUUAAAUGUACAACAUUGAUAUACAUUCAAGGUCACAGGGGUCAAAUAGAUUAAAUCAUGCAAUUAUAUACCUUUCAGUUAAAACCAAGCGUCCAUGGGCUAAAAAUAAGCCAGCGUGGUGGCCAGAGAGAAGCCAAUAUAAAAGUCCCUCAUGCAGAAAAGAACCAAAUUUGAAGAGGGAAAACCUCUUGCAAAUUCUGCUUGCCCCAAUAGGAGACACUGAUGUAA